GUGUAAAAUAGAUUUGGACGACUUAGUAGGGAUUUAACCAAGUCUAAGCAAAUGAAAAGCAAAUAGCACAUAAAAGGGCAAAGAAAGGAGGAAGUAAAAGAUUUAGGCCAUUGGGCCCAAAUCAACCAAACUUGUCCAAAUCUAAUUGGGCUUUCGACCCAUUUUUCACCUAUCCUAAUCUAUGUUUUCGAGCUUUUUUGGCCCAAAAUCCGCUUCACCUAUAUUAAAUUUACAACUUUGGCUUCAAGACCCAAAUAAAUGAAUAAUGAAAUGAAGAAAUAAAUAAAUAAUAAUAAAAGACAACAAUAAAUAAAUAAACAAAUAAAAUAAAAAAUAAGACUUUCGAGUCUCUUUGCCACUUCAAAGACGAGACUUUAGUCCAUUCUUCUUCUUUUGACUCCUUGUAUCAAUAUGCCGUGAGAUUGAUUUUUGUCUUGAACUUUGAAGCAAUGGGCCUUAUUGAAUAUUUGAAUAUGCAAUGGGAGGGAUUCCAUUGUGGACUCCAAAACAGAUUCACAUGCAAAGGAAAAGGUAAGAAUUAGAAUCAUCCCAGACCAUAUAAUAUUCAUAUCACAUGUGAACAAAUGCUAAACUGAUUUUUAUCUCACUAUUUAGGCUAGUCUGCAAGUUGAACAAUGUUUAGGAUCCAUGCGAUAAAAAUAUAGUCGUAACCAAACCUACGGCCUCCGAGGCCCCUUCAACAAGCAAAUCCCAGCAUACGAAAGGGAAAAAAUAAAACUGUUUAGGUUGAUGGUGUGCUCAGGCAAAGUAACAUUCAAACACAAAGAAUUUUUUUUCUUAGAAAUGAAUACAGAAUCAGAACUUUGGAGCAAAAGGACAAACAACUAAAACAACAAAAUCACAAAAAUCCUACGACCAUCAUGGCCUCUACAAUAAACAAAUUCCAGCACAUAAAAGAGAACUAAAUUUACUACUACUACGAAAAAAUGAAAACGUGGAAGAAAAAUGAGAAAGAAAAUAAAGCGUUGAAAAAUUUACUCCUUUUGGGGCAGUAAAAUGGGACCACGAACUUCAUUAGGGUCAACCACCAGAAAAAAUCGUCGGCGUCAAGUCGCCGACAAAUUUCACAAAAUUUUUUUUUUACUAAAAAGAGACUGAAUUUUGCUCAAAGAUUUUUCUCCCCUCCAAGACUUAUCCUCUUUUAGCUCAAGCAUGAGCUUUUAUAGAGAGGAUUUUGGGCUCAACCGUUUGUUUCCAUCGAUGUGGAAUAGGAGAAAUUGGGGGGCAAUUUUGGAAUUUUUCAAAAGAGAAUAAUUUCAAAUGUUGAAAAAAGGAAUAAGAACAAGAUGUAAUCGUACCAUUUUGGUACAAGAUUUUGAAAAUCAAACGGAUAGCUUUUACUGGCUAUUGCUACGUCAUUUUGCAAUUGAUUCGGGUUUCUUCACGGAUAUUAGGUCGCGGGUUUUGGGGUUCAUCACUGUUAGCAUUGAAUCGUGUCUCCAUUAGGUCACCGGUGCCGGGUUGGAGCUGCUCGGGUCGUCGUUGUAGAUGGAUCGGAAGUACUGAGGGUUGGAACCGUUGUUGUAGGUCUGGUUCGGUUUUGGUUGAUGGUGGUAUUGUAUAUCGUGUUUUUGUUGUUUGCUGAUAUUUGUUGAUAAAGAGUAAAAUGGGGCCGGAUCAAUUGCAUUGGACUGGGCUGGGCAAUUAGAGGUUAUUGGACUGAGGGUUUUGAAUUGUCGGACUGGUAAUUAAAAAAUAAAAAAUUGGCUAAAAUUGGGGUUAUUUUGAGAUAACUCCAAUUAGAUUAGGGAUUAAAAUUUUUGGAUAUUUGUUAAAUUAGUCUAAUCAUUAGAAUUUAGCCAACUGAAUUUAAAUUUUAGCCUAAUUAAAAAUUAAUUGACCAAUUACAUUGUAAUUAUGGACAAAUCACUUUCAAGUAAGGUUAAAUUUAAUAAAUUGACCAAUUUUAAUCAAGAUUUGAAACAAAUUAGGAACUAGUUUAAUCCUGAGUUUCUUGAUUCGAUAAAAUUGUAUAAAUAUUUCUCCAAAUAAAUUAUUUUUUAAAAUAAAUCAUAUUUUACUCAAGAUUUUACCCAUUUGAAUUAAUUUUCAAGAUAAGCUUUGAUUAAAAUCCUACAUUCCGUAAAAUAGUAAUUUAGGUAACAAAAUUAUGUAAUCUCGUAUAAUUGAAUACGAUAAUGUAUAAUUGCUACUUAAAAUAACAAAAUUAAACUUGGUUAUGAAGGACAAAAAUUAGGUGUCAACACCCACCAUAAACAUUUUACUAAUAUGUUGUCUAAAUUGAAUGCAACUAAAUCCUUAUAAUUUUCAUCUAUAAUAUCUUAAGCCUCUAGGAUAAAUUUUUUAUAUAAUACCAUAUAAGAGAUUAAAAAAGUCUAUUCACACAAAUGUACUUUUCGAGGAGCAUAACCUUUUAGGUUGAUGCUAUCUGGCCUCUUUUCAGAUUUGUAUUUCAAAAAUUGAAAAUACUUUGAACUUCAAAAUAAUAGAUAUAUUUUUAUUUGAUAAUUAGGGUGUUUGGAACUAACUUGCACUCACUUCAAUUAAUUUCAAGAGAUAAUUGUCACCUUCCAUUUAUAACAGGUUUCAGGUAAUUUUAUACAUCAAAACUGAAAUAUAUGGAAAGAAAUCACCUGUUAAUUUUGUUUAUGCUAAAACUUUUACUUGAAAUUUCAUGAUUCUUACCCAUUUCAUUAAUUGGUAAGGUAGAUUCUUGAGUUCAAAACUAUAGACAUUUCUAAGUCUGACAAUUUUCACGAAAGCUUCAUUGAUAUACGUGAUAUAAGAAUGAUCACGGAGAUGAACUUAUGAGAGUGCGUAUUGGACUCGAGAUUUGGAGUGUGAAAGUGAAGUGCAAAGGAGCACCAAUAUACACUCCAAAACCGUCCAUACACUACACUUGAACUACACUUGAUGGGCACCUCUCACUUAAGGGACAUUUUGGUCAUUUUAACUUCUAUUUUGUAAUUCAUUAUAUGAAGAACAUUGCAGGGUUUCUUUCAUUAGGUUUUGGAUAUUAAAUCUCUUGUAAUAGACAAUUGAAAGACAAGUUCUCUCUCACUUUGGAGACUUGGCCGAAACUAGGAAUACGAAGUGUGGAAUCACUUGUGUUACUUGCUUGGAACUUUGGAUGCUUGAAGGAUUGACGUCCCUCUAGUGUCCAUUGAAGAGUGUAGGUGUUUCUAUUACAAUAGUUAAAGGGCUCUUAGAUUUGAGACAUCUUAGGGUUCUUAGUUCUUGUGAUAGUACAUGUCACACUACCUAUCUUUACCUUUCUUGCAAUCUUCUAGUAGUUUGUAUCUUGUUAUUGUAAGUUGUGUGGUAUUAUUGUUAUAACAUUGUUGUUGUUCAUCAUUGUUCUUCAUUUUGUUGUUGGUAAUAUAGUUUGUGGUUACAAAAAAUAGGUGUUAAACACCUUGUUAUCUUUUCAUUCUUGUUCUUAUUGUUAAAUCCGAGAGCGAUCUCCAAUCAGUCCUAAGAUACUUGAGAUUUAUAGACUAUUUUGAAGUGUGUUUGGUGCAUUCUUUGUUCGUAUCAUAUCAAUAUGCUUUGGAUACUAGCAAAAAUACACAUGUACCCAAUUUUUAAAUCAUCAUUUAAACAUUUUCUUUUACAGUGUGACACUGCAAGAAAAUUUCAAAUAAUAUCCGUAAUAUCAAGUCAAAGCAAAGCGAAGAUCACUGCUUCUUUCGGACCCUGUUAAUUAGGAAAAAGUAUACAAAUAAAACCAUAUAGAUAUUUAUUUACUCAAGCAUCCCUCAACCCAAAUCAGUUUCAGUCAAUAGAUAUAUGGCUCAAUUUAUUUCCCUGGAUGCCCCUCAAUUUCACGUUCUUUUUUUUUUUUUUUUUUCCUUUUUUUUUUUGCUUUGACUUUGCUUUUUUAUACUUUAUUCUUUGCAUUUUUUCUUCUCUUUUUUCCUUUCUUUUUUUUUAAAUCUUGUUUUCUCCUUUUAUCAUCCACUAAAGAUAUCAUUUGAUAAUAAUUUAUUAUUUGUUCCUUAAUUUUAUUUAUUUCUUUUUGGUUCAUUUUUCUCUUAAUUUUUUUUUGUACUUUUUUUUUGGUUAAUUCAUCUUCUAUUUAAUUUUUUGGUUCCUUUUUAUAUUUGUACUUUUUUAAAGAACAAUUGAAAAAGAAACAAAAAAUAAUUAUUGUUAGAUUAUUAAAAAUAAAAAGAUAAAUAACUAGAUUACAAUAAGAAAUCAUUAAGAGAAAUUUAAAAUAAAAUGAUGGCUCAUUCAUUAUAUAUAUUAUCAUUAAGAAGAAUAAAAAAUUCGCUGACUCAUUCAUUAAAAUCUAAAUUUUAAAAAAAUAUGACUUGUAUUAAAACAUUUUAUAUAUGCUUUUACAAAUGAAGCAAAACUUGUAUUUAUAAUAUGAUUCUAUUUUUUGUAAUUUAUUUUACAAAAUUUAACUUGCGAAAUUUGAUAUAUAAAAUAAAUAACAGAGUUAAAUAUAAAAUUUGUGAUACCCCGUUAGUAUAUGAUAUUUACCACAUGCAUUUCAUAGUAGAUUGAGAAGUUAAAUCUGACCUGAGUAAUGAUGUGCCGAUAUAGAGAUACAAUGUAAUGGGAUCAUGGAGGACUGAUAAGUGUUUAAUUGAAGGACCUAAAUAUAUCUCAAUGAUAUCAUGAAACUUUGUAGAUAUCAUGACACAUUGUAGAUAUAUGGUAAAGGUAUCAUGGAUAAUUGGGGAAUUGAAGUAUUGAAGCAGAUCUCACUAAUUCCAUGUUAGUAUAUAGCUAUACUACGAUGGAUAUCCAAAGACCUAAAGCAGACCUCAAUGAUAGAUGUCAGUAUAUAGAUAGAUAUAUAAUUGUGAUGAUAUCAUGGAGGACUGAGGACUGUCUCAUAAAAGACUGAAGUUUCAAUAGCACUAUGAUCGUAUAUAGAUAUACUAUGAUGAUAUCAUUACGAAUUGGGUAGUAACUUAUUGAGGACUGAAGCAGUCCUCCAUGAAAUCAUAUCAAUAAACAAAUAUAUUGUGACGGUAUCAUCAAGGUCUAAGGAGUGUAUUUUUAAAAUGACUUAAGCAUUCCUCAACUAAAAAUAACAGGAUUCAAAAUAGUUGUCAUUUUAAAAAAUCAAGUUUAAUUAAUUAUUUGUUUCCAUCUUCUCAACAAACUUGGAGAGCUAUUAAUAUGUUGGUAAAAAAUAAUACUAUUAAAUUGAUAUCAACUAAAUAAAGACAGCUUAGCUAAAUUUACCUUUUAAUUGUUUUUUGAAUGAGUUUGUGAAAGAAAACAUGACAAGUAGAAUAGAAUGGAGAAGGGAGUAUUAUAUUUACAUAAUUUAAGAUAAAUAACUGAAUAACACCUACAGUUAAUUGUACUAUGAUACUUUAAGAAAUUAAAUAUUUAGGAAAGUAAAUUUUAGAAAAAAAUGUUUUGUGCGGUCCAAACUAGGUUUCAUUAAAUAGACUUGACACUUUUUUUUUUUACUUCUAACAGAGUGAAUCUUUUCACAUUUAAUUUAAUACUAGCUUUGUCAUUUUAAGAAACUCUCAUGGUCUUAUAAUUUUUAUAUACACAAAUCUUUUCACAGAGAGCUAACUACCCUUUAUGUGUUAGAACAUGCACAUUAAAAGCAACAAUUCAAAAAGAAUCAAUACAACUUACAUAUAAUCUAGAUAACAUAAAUCGUCAAGCGAAAUUGAAAAGUUAUUUACCUGUUGAAGUUUCACAUAAUUCGUUCACUGCUUUGACCUCCGAGGCACACUUUUCUACUAUAUCCUGACUAACUUUUGCUCUCAAACUUGUGUGGGCAAGUACUUUGGAAUUAGAGAAGAAUAAUUAAAUUCAGAAAAAUCAGCUUCUACUUAUUCCCACUUUCAAUUGAAUGAGGAAGAGAAAGAGGCAAACGUUUUGGCCUUUUAUUGAAACCUUAAAGCCAAAAAAAUGUUUUUAACCUUAAUACACCUUAAUUCCAAAACUUUUUUAGCAUUAAAUUUGUCAUAAUGCCAAAAUUAAUUCUUAAUUCUUUUAUUCCUUAUUUACAAAAUACCGGUAAAUAUUACCUCUUCUAUAAAUUCUUUUCUUUUUCAAAUUUGAUUAGUUAAUCAGGCAUAGUAGGGACAGCAUAUGAUAUUAAUUUGGCAAUGAAUGAAUUAUCAUAUCAUAAUAAAUUACAAAUUAUUCCACUAGAAAUUUGUAAUUGCGCUCCUCGGUUUAAUUUCAAAAAUCUACUAUUACAUCUUAUUUAACUCCCCAUGUUAGAAUUACCGACACCAAUCAAUUAAAUUAAAUUCUCUAAAAAAUUUAACUCAUUGAUUAAUUUAAUCCUUUAUUUAUAAUGCUUAAGGUAUUUCACAUGACGGAUACAAAAUUCACCUGCAGGGUUUUCACCUGAAAACUUAUAAGCAACCAUAAAGGGAUGUCUUCUAUCUCAAGUCCGAGACAUGGUUCUAUCAACUAAUUAAUAUUUCACUAAGUGAUUCGUCAUCAACUAACCCUAUCAGGAAUAUGUUGACUCACAAAAGAGUCUCACCUUUUAAUAGAUUAAAAUGACAAAACAAACCACAUAGAUCAUAAUAAUUAUAUCAAGUUUAAGAGUAUAAGUACAUGUAAUGGUCUAGAGAAAUCAUUUAUUAAUAUUUAGAACAUAAACAAAUAUCUCUAAUUGGUCCGUUCAAUACAUACGAAAUGUACUAGCACAAGAAGUCGGAAUAUUACCGCUCCCAUAAUUAAGAUCAAAUUAUAUUUAAUCUUGUGCUACAAUAUCAAGAUGUUUUUCCUACCUCAUCUUUGAUUCUGAAUGUUAAUUUAUUACUUAUAAGAAUCGUCAAUUUUAAUCUUCCGUGCAUGAGUUAAAAUACUCCAUACAUAAAAUUGUCUACUAUAUAAGCAAAGGACACACAUGUUAACAAAAUGAUCUAUUCAAAUAAAGAUUUUAUUAACAUAAUAAAUAGUCUUUACAUGAGAUGAAAAUAUAAUACUAUAACACAAAUUACAUGGUUAAUAGUAUAUCCAUAGUUUUUACCAUGUCUUCAUAUGAGUUGUUGCCUAAAAAGAGAAGUCAUCCUUUCAUGUACCUGUUUGGUAGGAAAUAUCUUGUAAUAAAUGACACAACAACCCUAUUGGUUGUUUCAUAAUUAUCUUAUUUGUCGGUUGAAUAUGUCUUCAAUGUGAGGUGGCCCUUUUAGACACAGACAACACUUAACAUAGAAUGGUCCCUGCAACCGUGUAAUCUUAUGCUGAUGCGGUAACCUUUUGGUCACAUAUAUUGCUUGUUGUAUGUGAAAUGAUAACCUUUUCGUUUAUUGACAAUGUUUCUUCGCAUAUGACCUUGGGUAAGUCUUGCGCAUCUUUUGUGUCGAUAAGACUUGUAGAUUUCCCUUGAAUUGUCAAUCUUUAGAUAAUCUUGCUCAUUAUUUAAUAUUGGAUAUAAGGUGACAUACAAAUAUCCUUUGAAUUUCUAGUUUUUAGGUAAUCAUGUACAUUAUCCGACCUUGGAUAUGAGAUGGCUUACAGAUAUCCCUCCAAUCGCUAGCUCUUAGGUAUUCCUGCACAUCAUCCGACCUUGAAUACCAUAUAACUUAUAGAUAUCUCUCAAAGUGCUAGUCUUCGGGUAAUCCUGCACAUAAUAAAUCUUGGAUAUGACGCAGCUUAUAGAGAACCCUUGGACGUUUCUAUUUGACACUCUCGUAUAUUUUCAAGUAAGAAUUUAGUUGCGACUUAUGAAUGACAUUUAAACUAUUGAUCUUAGGGUAACCUUGAAUACUAUCCAGUUAGGAUAUUGUUGCGGAUUAUGGAUGACCUAUGGACUAUCAAUUCAUAGGUAGGCAAGAACUUGCUUGGCAUGAGACUUCUACGGCAAUCCCAUGUCUUCAGGCAAGGUAGCGUUAGCUAUCCUAGGUUGUGAACUGGGUCCGAUCAGUGCUAUUCUCCGAUCAUAGUUCUAUUCAAUGGCUGAUUUAUUACUUCGUAACCUGAGUUUAGGCUGUCGUGUGAGUCCCAGAGAACAAACUCAGGCACCUUAUACCCCUUUGGAAACUGGCACACUAUUCUAUUUCAAAUAAUGUGACAUAUAGAUGAUCCUAGAAUUGUCAAUUUCUAGAAAGUCUCAAAUGUCAUUCGCUUUCAGAUAGAGACUUCAAGACAUUCCUUUAAAUUGUGUGCUUUUGAUUCAUUAGAUGUUGAUUCAUAAAAUAAUGAGAUAUCCUUGACGCCAACAUUUCUGUCUUGCGUGUCAACAAAUAUUAAAUGUUGAUGAUAUUUCGAUGCCAGUGUAUGCUAUCUCACAUGUCAACAGAUAUUAAAUGUUAAUGAUAUCCUCAACGCCAGCAUAUGAUAUCUCAUGUGUCAAUAGAUAUUAGAUGCUGAUGAUAUUCUUUACACCAGCAUAUGCUAUCUCGUGUGUCAAUAGAUAUUAAAUGCUAAUGAUAUCCUCGAUACCAGUGUAUGCUAUCUCGCAUGUCAAAAGAUAUUAGAUGAUAAUGAUAUCGUCGAUGCCAGUGUAUGCUAUCUCGCGAGUCAAUGAAUAUUGAAUACUGAUGAUAUCCUUGACAUCAGUGUAUGCUAUUUCAUGUGUCAACAGAUAUUAAAUGCUUAUGAUAUUCUCGAUGUCAGGUUAUGCUAUCUUGCGUGUCAACGGAUAUUAUAUGCUGAUGAUAACCUCAAUGCCAGCGUAUGCUAUCUUGCGUUUCAAAAAUAUUAUAUGCUGAUGAUAUCCUCUACCCCAGCGUAUGCUAUCACGUGUGUCUACAGAUAUUAGAUGUUGAUGAUAUCCUCGAUGCUAGCGUAUGCUAUCUCAUGUGUAAACCGAUAUUAAAUAUUGAUCAUAUCAUUGAUGCCAGGGUAUGGUAUCUCGUGUGUCAACAAAUAUUAGAUGCUGAUGAUAUCCUAGAUGGCCCUCUUGGUAAUGAUAUGAAAUGGCCCUCUUGGCAAUGAAAUGAUAUGAAAUGGCCCUUUCGGCAAUGGCAUAAUAAGGCCAUCUUGGUAAUGAAAUCAUAUGAGAUGGCCUUCUCAGCAGUGAAAUGGUUCUUCCAGUGACUUGAAAAUAGUUUCACCUGAGUCCGUUAGUCUUCAUUUUUCUUUCUACAUGUACCUGUACUCAAGGUAGACAGUCAGUAGACAUAAUGUCACUCACAUGAUCACAGUCAAGCUUUGUGAUAGUUUAAUGGAAAAUACCAAGCAUCAUAAUUCGAAGGACUUAUUCUGCUAUUAAUCUUCUCUUUUUGAAGAAAUAAUUAUAUACUUGAUCCAUCAAAUUUAAGUAAAUGGGGCAAACCCUAUGUUUGGGGAUUACUCAAAUAUCAUUUGCUUCACUUCAAGGUGAAUUUUGGAGGAUGACUUUCUUUUUUUCCUCCUACUGAGUGAUCCUUUGAUUGUUAUAUUAAUUGUGCCGACUUUCUUGAAUUCACCUGCGCUCAAAGUAAAUAUUUAAUAGACAUAAAGUCGCUUAUGAUAGCGAUUGCUUUUAUAUAAAGAAUUCUAAAUACAAUAUUCAUAAAGAAGCUAAGGCGCCUUUGUUUUCCCUUCAUGGUCUCAAGAAAUGAGAUAGGCAAUAUAAAAUGUACUCAAUAAAUGGGUAUUAAAAUCGUCUUCAGGGCUAUCCAAAAAUACCUUUUUGAGCAUUAUAUGCUUUGGUGUGGCUUGCAACCCGCUUGGGGAUUUCAUUUUGAAAAAAGAUUUCCAUCUUUUGUGUACUGAUCCUAGUAUCCAAAGAAAAAUGAUUAGUUUUGAGUAAAGCUACUCUGUGUUGACCUCCUUCGAUCCUUGGUUUGCUCCUCUCCAUAUUUCAAUACUUCAUCAUGUUGGGACUUCCACCCUGACUCUCAUUCCCAAUAGAUUCCUUGACAAUUACUAAGUAAAAGAUUUGUAUAGAUUUUUGAAAUUAGUCUUAAUUUUUAGAAACUAGUUUCAAAAAUUCUAUGAAAUAUUUAAAAAAUCUCUGCCAAUUGCGUCAUGUACUAGCUCAACGGACAUCUUUGUCUUUGUUCUGACUGUAUCUGACGUUCGAUGGAGGAUUUUCAAAACUCUUCAUCAUUGCUGGAGGGUUCUUUAAAAAGUUCUGUCAUAGCCGAAAAAUUAAUCUACCUAGACUUCGUAGUAGCUGGUGAUUUCCAAAACUUGACUUUAAACUAUGGUGCUGGGGGAUUUGAAAUAUAUUCCAAUAUAUUAGUAGAAAUUUUGAGGACCUUCUCAAAAUUUCUGCCGCAGUUUAAAGUUGUUUGAGAUGAUCUCAACUUGAGAGGAUCCGAAGUCUUUGUUUGUCUUCAUUCUUUUUUUUUUUGAAUAUGAUCUUUCUUUUGUCAAUUUUUGAGAUUUCUUCUCGAAAAUUCUGCCCAUUUUUCAUUUUCUGAGGUUAUAUGACCGAGCCGUUGGGGCGCCUACAUUCCCGUUGAAGCAGGAAUCAGGUCAAACAUAGUUCAAUACUAUAAUAAGGAUAUAUAGAAAAAUCUAAAGGGUUAAUGAAAGCCUACAUAGGCCGCCUACGUAUCUUAUUCUUGAGAAUUCAGGUCAUCACGUAGUUCAUAUAUAAAAGGAAAGGAUGAAUUUUCCUAAAGGGUUGACCGAAGACGGUAUAGGCCGUCUACGUAUCCCUUUCUUGGAAAUUUAGGUCAAACAUAGUUCGUACAUAAAAGGAAAGGAUAAAUUCUCCUAAAGGGUUGACCAAAGCUGAGAUAGGCCACCUAUGUACCCCUUUCUUUGGAAUUCAAGUCAAACAUAGUUCAUACAUAAAAGGAAAGGUGUUGAAUGACCCUAGAUAUUCUUGUCUGUCCCACUAGGAUAGAAAUUAGCUCUCUAUAGAAGACGCUUCAUUGCGUAUGUCCUGAUAGAAUGAAGGAUCAACCGUCCAAAUUUCUUUAAGUAUGUUUGGUCGGACUUUUGAAUAGUGCGGUAUAUUUCUGCCUAGAGAUGCUCUGUGGGAAAUGAGAUUUGAUCGAUUCGCCUUUGAUUCAAAUCAACAUAGCACGUGUAAAUACAUAAGCAGUUAUAUCACACAAACAUAUUGUAAUAAACGUUCAUACUAAUUGGGUGACCUUUUUAAGCCAAGGGGGUUGGCCUAACGUAUUUGAAGGAAGUAUAUGCUUUUUAAAACCAAUCCAUUAUCCCCCAAAAACCGUCAUAGGUAUACAUAAAUGGCAUAAAUGCCUACAAAAGUUGCACAAAAGAAUAUAAUCUUUAGGGAAAGGAAAAAUAGCAUGAGAAAAAAAACAAUGUCCCGCGUAGGGGAUAUGAAAUACUAGCUCCUGAAUGCUCUUCUAUCGGCCUUCGCCCUCUUAGCUUUGUUCAUUUUUUUUCAUUGGUGACAUCCGUUGAUGAUCAAGUAAUUUUUGUAUAAGUGUGCUCUAGAUGUAACCAUCUAAAUAGAUUAGUUUCUUGCUUGGCUUGCUUCAAUUCCUCCCAUAAUUGGUGUAUGAUUGAGGUGUCCUUACACGAAUGUAAGAAAAGCAAGCCCUCUUCUAAUCCCCAAAGGAUAAUGGAUUGGAUUAGACAAACAUAUAUUUUUUCAAAACAUAAAUAUUAUUCAUCUGUAAUUGACUCGGGGUCAAUAGACGUAGGACAAGUUUUCUAAUGGGCCCAAUACCCCUUUCGGAUAAUGGGUCAUCCUAGGCUUAUGCCAAAAAGGGUAUUGGUUUAGCUCAAUCCUAGGUGUCUAGAGUGGGUUAGAACCAGGUUCCCAAGUGGAUGACUUGAGUUUGAAAAUAGGAACAGCCAUCAGACGCCUAACGUUCUAAUAAACCAUUGUGUUUUCAACAUUUUAUUUGGCGUUGAACAAUAGAGGCCUGGACAUCCACGAAACCCCUAAAUAAUUUAAUAAUCAAUUUGGGAUUAUUCUAUGAGAUCCAAUAAUUAAAUUCCGCAAAAUCAAAAUAUAUAAACACGCAAGCAAUUUAAAUGGUUAGUCAAAUGAUAAAUUUAAACAUUUGGUUAGAACCUAUUUAAAAAUCUCCAACAGAGUCGCCAUUUUUGUUUUGCAAAAAUUUUGAAUUUUGAGAGUCACCAGUUAAUUUAUUUGAAAAGGAAUUAAGAAAACCUUUACACGAAACAUUAAACGAUCUAAAAUAGAAAAAAUCAUUUAAAGUUGAAGAUUCUGAGUAAGCGGUUCUUUUUAACAUUUUAGAAAUGUUUUUAAGGCACCUAAAACGUCCGCUAACUUGUGGUUAUCUGGAAUGUUUGAAAAUAUCUUUAACUAACUUCAAUAAGAUUGAUUGUUUAAAAGUGAUUGAUUUUAGAAAAAGAUUGGUGUAAAAUAGGUUUGGACUACUUAGAAAGGAUUUAACCAAGUCUAAGCAAAUGAAAAUCAAAUUGGCACAUAAAAGGCGAAAGGGAGGAGGAAGUAAAAGACUUAGGCCAUUGGGCCCAAAUCAACGAAACCUGUCCUAAUCUAAUAGGGUUUUUGACCCAUUUUUCUCCUGUUCUAAUGUAUGUUUUCUAGCUUUUUUGGCCAAAAAUCCACUUCACCUGUAUUAAAUUUACAACUUUGGCUUCGAGGCCCAAAUGAAUGAAUAAUAAAAUGAAAAACAAAAUAUAUAAUAAUAAAAUACAACAAUAAAUGAAUAAACGAAUAAAAUAAAAAAUAAGACUUUCGAGUCUCUUUGCCACUUCAAAAACGAGACUUUAGUCCAUUCUUCUUCUUUCGACUCCUUGUAUUCAUAUGUCAUGAUAUUGAUUUUUGCCUUGAACUUUGAGGCAAUAGGCCUCAUUGGCCCAUUCAAAAAUGCAAUGGGAGGGAAUCCAUUGUGGUCUCCAAAACAGAUUCACAUGCGAAGGAAAAGGUAAGAAUUAGAAUCAUCCCAGACCAUAUAAUAUUCCUAUCACAUGUGAACAAAUGCUAAACUGAUUUUUAUCUCAAUAUCUAGGCUAGUCUGCAAGUUGAACAAUGUUUUAGAACAUAUGACUUGAUCACAAACAAUAUUCUAUAGAGAAAAUGAAAUUAACAUAGAUUAAUCAUGACUAUCCUUUUUAGCAACAAGACUGCAAGCGGGUAGAAAAUUUGAAAUGGAGAGGAGCGAGAAAAAUUUGACAAAACCAAGCAAGAAAACAAUUUUUGUAAAACACUCAAAUUCUUAUCGAUAUGCACACUAAAUGUGGCAUAUUGAAGUCACCUUAACAACAGCUAUAAUAUGUUUCCUAACACAUAAAGCAAAAACUUGCACAUUGAAAAAUAAUUCACAAAAUAUAUUAAAAGGAGCGUACAGAAGCAAAACAAUAUUUUAUUCCUAAUCAUAAUAUCAAAAUUCAAAGAUAAAAUAACUUGAGCCUGUUACCCAACUAAUCAUAAUAUCAAAAUUCAAAGCUAAUUGAAUUGAAGUUGUGAUGACACUUUGUGAUAAGGCAUCAGGAUGGUAAUAAGGCGUUAGGAGCGUCAUCAGCCUUAAACAAAAGAUGGAAGUUAAGGAAAGUUUUGGGACGACAUCCAUGACACGUCGUCAGGCUGGUGAUAAGGCGUCAGGAGCGUCGUCAGCCUUAAACAGAAGAUGGAAGUUGAAGACAGUUUUGUGACUGCAUCCAUGACACGUCGUUAGGCUGGUGUUAAGACGUCAUGUCAUCGUCAGCCUUAGGCAAUGAAAGUUAAAAGUGCAGAGGAGCUGACGACAUCCGUGAUAAGUAAGCUGUCACAGGCAUCGUCAUCUAUUCUGAGGAAAAGCUGUAACUUUAAUUUUAUUUACUUAAUUAGGUUAAACUAUUUAAAGCCUUGUUUUAGGGUUUUCUAAAAAAAAAAAUUCUUUUUUGGACUCAUCUUUAUUCGAAAAAACAGAUGAUAUUUCUCUCUCAAUAGUUAAAAUAUAUUUUGGGAGUUUUGUACCGUGAUUCAAUUCAAGUUAUACUUCUUGAUUUUCAUCAUCAUUGUAAGUUAAUUUUCUCACUUAUAAAUUCAAUUGGUGUACUUGUUCCUUGCAUUAUGAGUAGCUAAACUCCAUUAACCUGAAUUAUGGGAUCUAGGGUUAGGUCAUGAUGAUGUGCUAAGCACUCAAGAUUUAAUAGGUGUUAGGAUUUCUUGACAAUUCUGAGAUUUUAAUUAAUGUCUGUUGGUUACAAAUAGUAGACACACCUACUUUGAUUUGCUUGAGAAAGAAAUCAAAUAUAGUAGGAAGUGAAUUAUCAACAAGGACUCGGAAAUACUUCGUUUAAUAAUAAGCACUGUAACAAGGUUGGUUAACCUGAGGUAAAAUCUGGAUAGUGAAUAGAAAUUCCCUAAGUCCGAGAGGAUUAGGAAAUUAGACGCUUAAAUAGGUCGAGAUACAUUUGAGCAUAUCAUCAAUAAAGAUAGAUUGUUAUCCUAACCACCGUGAGAAUCUUAAGUCACCUCUAGAAUCAGUCAUGUACCGUAAGCCCUAGUGAAUAUAAUUCUGGUUAUUUCUUAAGAUCUUGGUUACAAACAUUGAAAUUAAAGUGACAAACAAUCAUUUGUGAAACUUAAACCCCCAUUUUAGGAAACAUUAAAAUAUUAGUAAAUUAAAGCGCAAACGACUUGAGUUUACACCAUAUUCCCUGUGGGAUUCGACCCCAACCUAGUUGGGUUUUAUAUUAAUAACGAUCGCUUACACCCAUUCAAAAGUGUAGUUUGAGCGUUAUAAAAAAUGAUGCUAAUUAACUGUUAGUUAGGUUUCCUAGACUUACGUUUAUUUGUUGUUUUUCCUUAUUGCAGGUUCCUUGUUGUUUAUGCCAAAAACAAGAAGUUUCAGAGAACCGUUAAUACCAAAUAAUCCAGAACCUCAGAUGAUCGGGAGAAUGGCAGAACAGUAAGAGGCUGACAGACUGGCAGCCUUGGCCAGGGCUCAGGUGGACGUAUAGAACCAGGGUCAACAAGUACAUCACCUGAACCAUGAUUAUGAAGACUUGGGGGAUGAGGAAUUACUGAAUCCUCAAAACCCAAGGCGAGCUGAGCAAAUUGCUGCACCAGUGCAGUAAAAUUUUGAUAGAUACCAUCCAGUCAGAGGAAGGUAUGGUCAACAGCCUGUCCAUUACAAGGUUGAUGAUGAUGCCAAAGGAAUGGACGGAACAGGUGCAAAGGGUGCUAUUAUUCCUCCACCAUUGGCACUUGGUGCAAAAUUAAGCAUAAAAAGUACUAUGAUUCAACUCUUGAAUCUGAAGUGGUUAUUUGGAGGCUUGCCUAGUGAUGAUCCAAACUUGCACUUGGUGAACUUUAUCACCAUUUGCAAAUCUUUUUAUAAUCUGGGAGUGAGCCAGAAUAUGAUCCGGUUGAGAUUGUUUCCAUUGUCUCUGUCUGGGAAGGCAACAAUGUGGUUAAAUGAGAUAGAGCCCAAUUCUAUAACCAACUAGAGACAGAAAAAGGCAUUCCUAGAAUAGUUCUUUCCACCCUCUAGGAGGGUACAGUUGAAGGACGAAAUUAGUAACUUUAGGCACCUCCCAACUGAAGCAUUGCAUGAAACUUGGGAGAGAUUCAAGAAGAAGAUGGCACAAUGUACGAAAUACAACAUUAUGGACUUUCACUAGAUGGAUACUUUGUACAGUGAUUUUAACUUUAUGACAAAGCCAAUUAUAGAUAUUAUUGCAGGUGGUUCAUUCAUUGACCUUUCUUUUAAAGAUGCUUCAGACAUGCUGAAUAGAAUGACCAAACAGAGUCGGGCUUGGCAUACCAGGGAUUUUGUGAUAGCUAGCCCGACUGAUUCUGGUGGUAUGACUACAAAGCAGCGUAGAAGGGAUGAGGAGCGAGACUAAGACAUGGCCCACUUAAAGACUUAGAUGGACUAGCUGACCAAGCACUUACUGUCAGGCAAGACUAAAAAGGUUAAGGCUGUGGAAUCUCAGUACACAGUUGCUAUUGAUGCAGAUGAGAAGAAAAAUUAUUUUAAUAAUCAGGGGAGUUUUCGAGGCAAUAGCCAAGGGAAUCAAGGUCAGAAAUUUUAUGACAAGCCCGAUUAUAAAGAUAUAGAGCAAGGAAACUUGAGACGCAAUAAUGAUAGGAGUUUUUUGUAUGUUCCUCCUGGAAGUCAGACUAUUAUACCAACUACAUCUGGCAAGAUAUCCAUGGAGGACAUGAUGGAAAAUUGCUAUAGGGAGUUGAGGCUACCAGCUCGGGAUUAACCACUAUGAAGAGUGAAUUCUCUACCCUGAGUCAGUUGGUUAGUUCAUACUCUACUUCUAUCAAGCAGUUGGAGCAGCAGAUGAGCCAACUUUUUGAAACACUAAACCAAAGAAAAAGUGGUACGUUACCUAGUGAUACGGUUAAGAAUCUGUGGAAUGAUGGCUCAUGUAUGGACAUUACCACUAGGAGUGGUAAGAUGUUACCUGGACCUUCUGUGGGCAAAUCUAUAGAUGGUGAGGUGGUCGUUGAUGAACCUGAAGAAAGCAAACUAGUAGAGUCUGAGAAGCUGGAUAACUCUAUUGAUGCUUCAGAGAAAGAAAAAGAGAAGGAAAAGGAAGUGGUGUUGAAAUCUAUCCCGAGACCACCACCUCCCUUUUAUCAACGAUUAAAGUAAAAGGCUGAUAAUGCCAAAUUCAUCAAAUUCAUGGCAAUGUUCAAGCAAUUGACAAUUAAUAUGCCUUUAGUUGAGAUACUUAAGCAAAUGCCAAGAUAUGAGAAAUUCAUGAAAGACCUUGUGACUAAGAAAUGAGCAGUGAGCUACGACUUGUAGGUAGAUCUCCAUAUCUGUAGCACUAUUUCUACAAGGUACCUAGUACAGAAGAAGCCAGACCCAGGUGCAGUCACUAUUCCCUGUAUAAUUAGGACAACAGAAUUCACCAAAGCACUAUGUGAUCUGGGAUCAAACAUUAAUUUGAUACCACUGACUAUUUAUAGAAAGUUGGGUCUAGGAAAUCCCACACCCACCAACAUGAGACUCAUGAUGGCGGAUAGGUCAAUAAAGUGACCUAUUGGCAUUCUAUAUGAUGUGCUGGUGAAGGUGUCCAACUUUAUAUUCCCUACAAACUUCUUCAUUAUGGACUGUGAGGUAGACUUCGAGGUGGAUAUAAUCUUGGGUCAACCUUUUCUCAUAAUAGAAAGUGUGCUGAUUGAUUUAAGAGCGAAUGAGCUCUUAUUCAGAAUGAACGAUGAAGUGUUAUAAUUUGAUGUGGGAAAAUCAAUGAAGCAGCAUGAAGAGAUGAGUGUGUUCUUAGUAGUUGAUGUGUAUUAUGAGGACGAACAGGAGAUACCCAUAGCUGAGCAACUUGUUAUUGAACCUUUAGUCACGGUCAUGAUAAAUUAUGAUGGUGAAGGCAUUGGGGAGUAUGAAGAGACCGUUUAUGACUUGAUAAGAAUGGGUUCAUAUCCUUAUGCUCCAAAAAAUCUAGACCUUGACCUGGCUAAUCGACCCACGCCACCAGCCAAGUCAUCUAUUGAGGAGCCUCCGGUAUUGGAAUUGAAGGAAUUGCCUGGGCACCUAUGAUAUGUGUUUCUGGGAAAUGGGAAUAUGCUACCUGUUAUUAUUGCAACCGAUUUUAGGGAACAACAUGUGAAUGAACUUAUCUCAGUACUUAGAGGCAUAAAAGGGCUAUAGGGUAGACCAUUACAGAUAUUAUUAGCAUUUCCCCGAGAAUCUGCACACAUAAAAUUCAGCUUGAGGAGUAUUAUAUUCUAACCAUAGAGCAUCAACGCCAUCUUAAUCCACCAAUGCAAGAGGUGGUUAAUAAGGAGAUUAUUAAGUGGUUUGAUGCAGGAUUGGUUUACCCUAUUUCUGACAGCAAGUGGGUGAGCCCAGUCCAAUGCGUACCCAAAAUGAGGGUAUGACGGUGGUUGCUAAUGAAAAGAAUGAGUUGAUUCCGUUCAGGCCUGUAACUAGGUGGAGAGUUUGCAUGGACUACCACAAGCUAAAUUCUUGGACUCUGAAAGACCACUUUUUGAUGCCCUUUAUGGACCAAAUGCUUGAUCGAUUAGCUGGCAAGGGGUGGUAUGACUUCUUGGAUGGUUAUUUUAGAUACAACCAAAUAUGUAUUGCUUCUGAAGAUCAGGAGAAGAUGAAGUUCAUAUACCCAUAUGGCACCUUUGCAUUUAAAAGGAUGCCAUUUAGGCUAUGUAAUGCAUCCGCCACUUUUUAAUGGUAUAUGAUGUCUAUCUUCUCUGACAUGGUAGAGGACACCAUAGAGAUGAUUUAUUUGUGGUAGGUGAUUUAAUUGAGAUGUGUUUGGCACAUCUAAAUGUAGACUUGCAAAGAUGUGUUUUAUUUAAUUUGGUGCUUAACUGGGAAAAAUGCCAUUUCAUGGUCAAUGAGGGCAUCGUCCUCGGCCACAAAAUUUUCAAAAAAGAGAUAGAAGUUGAUCGAGCAAAGGUGGAAGUUAUUGAGAAACUACCACCUCCCAUUUCAAUGAAAGGAGUGCACAAUUUUCUUGGACAUUCUAACUUUUAUCGGAGAUUUAUAAAAGGUUUCUCAAAGAUUGCAAAUCCACUUUGCAAACUUUUGGAGAAGGAGGUGAAAUUUUCCUUCGAUGACAAGUGCUUGAAGGCAUUUGUAUGCCUUAAAAAGAAGCUGAUUGAGGCACCUAUUGUUAUUUCACCUGACUGGGCAAAACCAUUUGAGAUCAUGCGUGAUGCAAGUGGUGUAGCCCUUGGAGCUUAUUGGGGAAAAAAAGGGACGAACUGUUCCAUCCGAUAUAUUACGCCAGCAAAGCACUGAAUGGAGCGCAAAAGAAUUACACCAUCACUGAGCAGGAACUUCUAGUUGUAGUGUAUGCUUUCAAAAAAUUCAUAGCUUAUCUACUUGGGACCAAAGUAUUGGUCCAUACCGACCAUGCUGCCUUGAGGUAUUUGAUGGCUAAGAAGGAUGCUAAACCAAGGCUGAUCAGAUGGAUAUUGCUGCUGCAAGAAUUUGACUAUGAGGUCAAGGAUAAAAAAAGGUUGUGAAAACUAGGUUGCAGAUCAUUUGUCUAGAAUGAAAGGUGAAUAGGAAAGUAGUGAUGAAAUGAAGAUAAAUAAUGCAUUCCUUGAUGUGGAGAUUCUGGCUGCCACUAUGAGAAAAUUUCCUUGGUAUACAGAUUAUGCAAACUAUGUUGUGAGUGAGGUCAUCCUAGAAAACCUUACUUUCCAUCAAAGGAAGAAGUUCCUUUAUAAUGUGAUGCAUUACUUCUGGGAUGAUCUGUAUCUUUUUUGGUGAUGUGCAGACAAUAUUAUAAGGAGAUGUGUGUCGGAAGUGGAUGUAUUAUGCAUAUUGGAAGCAUGUCAUGCUUCCUCAGUCGGGGGUCACCACACAAGUGACUGAACAGCUAGGAAGGUGUUGCAGAGUGGCUAUUAUUGGCCAAUAUUGUUCAAGGAUUCCUACGAGUUUUUGUGGAAAUGUGACCAAUGCCAGAGGCAAGGGUCAAUCUCUAAAAGACAUAAGGUUCCCUUGACUAAGAUGCUUGAAGUGGAAUUAUUUGAUGUCUGGGGCAUUGAUUUCAUGGGUCCUUUUGUGAGCUCCUACGGGAUGAAGUAUAUUUUAGUUGUUGUUGACUAUGUCUCAAACUGGGUCAAAGUUGUAGCCUUGGCUGAUAAUGAAGGGAAAAGGGUUGUUGCUUUUCUCAAUAAUAACAUCUUCUCUCGCUUUGGAUUACCACGUACAAUCAUAAGCGAUGGGGGAUCUCAUUAUUGCAACAAAAUGUUUCGAGCAGCUUUGGCAAAAUAUAGGGUAAAACAGCACAGAGUGGCUACUCCAUACCACCCACAAACCAGUGGGAAAGUGGAGGUAUCAAAUUAUGAGAUUAAAGCCAUCCUAGACAAAAUGGUGAAUGCUAGCCGAAAAGAUUGGUCUCGAAAACUCGAUGAUGCCUUGUGGGCAUAUCAGACUACUUUCAAGACACCCAUUGGCAUGUCACCAUUUCAGCUGGUCUAUGGAAAAGCUUGCCACCUACCAAUAGAGCUGGAGCGCAAGGCUUUAUGAGAACUCAAAAGGUUAAAUCUUACUUGGAAAAAGGCUAUAGAGCUGAGACUGGGGCAAUUGAAUAAGAUAGAUGAAUUCCAUCUCAGGGCCUAUGAGUAAAUAGAUCUUUAUAAAGAAAACAUGAAAAAGUACCAUGAUUGGAGAAUAGAGAAAUGAGAAUUCCAAAAAGGUGACUUGGUGCUUCUGUUCAAUUCCAGACUCAAAUUGUUCCCAGGUAAGCUGUAAUCUAAGUGGUCAAGCCCUUUUAAAGUUAGUUAAGUCCACUCAACUGGAGUAGUGGAACUCGGAAAUGAAGACGGUAGUAACUUCAAGUUAAAUGGGAAACGUGUCAAGAUUUACAUUGGCCCAAAAGAAUCAGUGAAAAGUAUCACCAUUAUCUAUCUUGAUAAAGUCUGAAGUUAUUGAGAUACCUGAGUCAUGCCAUGAUGUUAAAUCAGGCGCUACAUGGGAGGCAACCCAUGACACCCGAGAUUGAUCCAUUCUAGGUAUACAGAACCUUUAGUUUAAUUUUGCUUUGAUUUUGAGUUGAGAGUGUAGGUUAGUAUAAUUUGUGGUAACUAGGAGAAAUACAAGUACAGAAAGCAGUUGACAUAUUUUUGAUAGAUUUUUAAACACCUCUCCAAUGUUUUGUUUGCAAAGACUAUGUGAAUUGUAUUUACUUAUGACUAUUGUGAAUCUUGUUGUGGCAUUAGUUCUAGCUGCUUGAUGAUCAUUGAUGAACAAUUGCAUGAACUAGAUAAGUGGUGGCCUGCGAUAUACUUGCGUGCCAUAUGUGUGUGAGCAACUACUUAAUUCCCUCUAUAUCCUAAAUCUAGAACUUGCCUGGUUGGUCUUACCAUGGUUAAAAGAUAGGCAUUCGAAAAGGAUCAUAGGCCGUUUUGUUGACUAACCCACUUUUAGACUAAAUAGCCUGCCCUAUGUGCAUUAUAUCCCUUGAUCCCUGUUUUGAGCCUAAUUAUCCUAUUUCUUCCUUAUGACACCUUUCACCUUCCCAUUUAUACCAUAAUGAACCUGUUUGGACCUGGUCCUUCUUAGACACUAUGCACCUUGACCUAGGCAAACAACCUAAGUUGAGGGUGGCUAUCAUAGGGGUGCAUGGUGUAAGAUGAGUAUGAAGAAUGGUAGAAUAAAGAAAAAGAAGAAUAAUCUAAAAAAAAGAGAGGCAUACAACUUGAACAUACGCGAUCAAUGGAAAAGAAAAUGAAAAAAGAGAAAAAUAAGUGAGCCCUAAGAGAGUAGUGUAGUGUCAAGGAGGCAUAGUCACUUUAAAUGACCUUGAAUAUCAUUCCAGCCCCUUCUUACAUUAUAAGCCUAAAAGAAGUCCUAUAGUGAUCCUAGCUGGCCUAUCUGUAGGUCUUGGUAAUGAAAAUAAGGGCAAGCCUAUGGUACUUGGCAUACACUGAUUGGAACUUCGUUUUGAGAGUGAGUCUUUUGAUGAUCCCCACAUUUACAUUUUUGGUUUAUUAUAUACGAGGAGGGGGAUUUCUUUGUUGUGAGUGCAUAAUGGUAUUGUUGCUAGCUACUUGCUUGUUUAGAUAGUGCAGCAAUGGCAUAUGAAUGCUUGUUGUGGCUAAGAUUGAUGCCAUCGCUUGAAUCCUUUGUGUUACAUUAUUGUUCUUCAAUGACAUACACAGUUGGUUUUAAUUGGAUUGACCUUGGAAAUGAUAACUAUGUUUUAAGCUUAAAAGAGAAAAUUGGCUGCUGAAUAUGCUAUGUAUUGUCUUAGUUGUGUUGAGUUGCUUGAGGACAAGCAAUUGUUUUAAGUUGAGGGUGUUGAUGUGUGAGCAAUUGCUAACAUAUUUAAGACCUUUAACCAAGAAUAAUUGCAAAUUCUUAAGCAACUUUUGUCAUUUUUGAUUGGUUUAUGUCUGAUUUUAUAGUUUAAGCUGGCGGGAUAGAGAAUGAACAAGAGUGGAAGCAAAGAAGUUGAAAUUUGGAGGAAUCUAAAGAGAAGUGUGGCUGACGACAUCAUUGAUAAGUUGUCAACCCUGUGAUGGCAUAUCACAGUUGUCGUCAGACUUAACUAGAGAUUUGGCAUGAGUUGAAGCUAUGAUGUCGUCAAGAUGGUGAUAAGGCGUCAGGAGCGUAUUCAGCCUUAAAUUGAAGAUAGAAGUUGAAGACAGUUUUGUGAUGACAUCCAUGACACAUUGUCAGGCUGGUGAUAAGGUGUCAGGAGCGUCGUCGGCCUUAAACAGAAGAUGGAAGUUGAAGAUAGUUUUGUGACGACAUUCAUGACACGUUGUCAGGCUAGUGUUAAGGCGUCAUCGUCGUCGUCAGCCUUAGGUAGCGAAAGCCAAAAGUGCAGAGGAGAUGACGACAUCCGUGAUAAGCCGUCAUACUUAUGAUAAGCUGUCACGAAUGUCGUCAUCUAUUCCGAGGAAAAGCUAUAACUUUGAUUUUAUUUCCUUAAUUAGGUUAAACUAUUUAAAGCCUUGUUUUAGGGUUUUCUAAAAAAAUAAUUCUUUUUUGGACUCAACUUUAUUCAAAAAAACAGAUGAUAUUUCUCUCUCGCUAGUAAAAAUAUAUUUUGGGAGUUUUCUACCGGGGUUCAAUUCAAGUUAUACUUCUUGAUUUUAAUCAUCGUUGUAAGUUAAUCUUGUAACUUGUGAAUUCAAUUGGUGUACUUGUUCCUUGCAUCAUGAGUAGCUAAACUCCAUUAACCUGAAUUAUGGGAUCUAGGAUUAGGUCAUGACGAUGUGCUAAACACUCAAGAUUUAAUAGGUGUUAGGAUUUCAUGACAAUUCUGAGAUUUUAAUUAACGUUUGUUAGUUGCAAACAGUAGACACACCUACUUUGAUUUGCCUGAGAAAGAAAUCAUAUACAAUAGGAAGUGAAUUAUCAACAAGUACUCGAAAAUACUUCAUUUAAUAAUCAGCACUUAACAAGGUUGGUUAACUUGAGGUAAAAUCUGGAGAGUGAACAGAAAUUCCCUAAGUCCGAGAGGAUUAGGAAAUUAGACGCUUAAAUAGGUCGAGAGACAUUUGAGCAUAUCAUCGAUAAAGAUAACUUGUUAUCCUAACCACCGUGAGAAUCUUGAGUCACCUCUAUCAUCUGUCAUGUACUGUAAGCCCUAGUGAUUUCUUAAAAUCUUGGUUACAAACAUUGAAAGAAAAGUGACAAACAAUUAUUUGUGAAACUUAAAACCCCAUUUUAGGAAACGUUAAACUAUCAGUGAAUUAAAACGCAAACGACUUGAGUUCACACCAUAUUCCCUGUGGGAUUCGACCCAACCUAGUUGGGUUUUAUAUUGACAACGAUCGCUUACACAAAUUCAAGAGUGUAGUUUGAGCAUUAUUGCAACACAAAGUGAGAUUCUAGGAUCCAUGCAAUAUCAAUAUAGUUUCAACCAAACCUACAGCCUCCAAGGCCCCUACAGCAAGCAAAUCCCAACAUACGAAAGGGAAAAAAUAAAAUAGUUUGGGAUGAAGGUGUGCUCAGGUAAAGUAACAUUCAAACACAAAACUAAUUUUUCUUAAAUAUAAGUACUGAAUCAAAACUUUAAAGAAAAAGGGAGAACAACUAAAAAGACAACAUCAGAAAAAUCCUACGACCAUCAUGGCCUCUACAGCGAACAAAUCCCAGCACAUAAGAGAGAACUAAAUUUACUACUACUACGGAAAAAAUGAAAACAAGGUUGAAACACGAGAAAGAAAAUUAAGUUUCAAAAAAUUUACCUCUUUUGGGGCAGCGAAAUGGGACUAUGAGCUUCUUUGGGAUACCCCGCCAAAAAACUUCGUCGUCGUCAACUCGCCGAAAUUUCACGAAAACAAAAUUUUACUAAAAUGAGACUGAAUUGUGGUCAAUGGUUUUUCUCCCUUCCAAGACUUGUCCUCUUUUAGCUAAAGCAUAAGCUUUUUAAAGAGGGGAUUUUGGGCUCAAUCGUUUGUUUCCAUCGAUGUGGAAUAAGACAAUUGGGGGGGCUAUUUUUGUAUUUUUCUGAAGGGAAUAAUUUAAAAUUUUAAUAAAAGGGAUAAGGACAAGCUGCAAUCAUACCAUUUUGGUACAAGAUUUUUAAAAUCAAACGGAUAGCUUUUACUGGAUAUUGUUGCGUCGUUUUUCAACUGAUUCGGGUUGUUUUGCGGAUAUUGGGUCGUGGGUUUUGGGGUUCGCCACUGUUACUAUUAAAUCGGGUCGCUGUUGGGUCACUGAUUUUAGGUCGGAGCUACUUGGGUUGACAUUUGAGAUGGGUCGGAGGUACUGCAGGUUGGAACCGUCGUUGAUGGGUCAGGUUCAGUUUUAGUUGAUGGUGGUAUUGUAUAUUAUAUUUUUGUUGUUUGCUGAUAUUUAUUGAUGAAAAGUAAAACAGGCGGGUCAAUUGCAUUAGACUGGGCUGGGCAAUUAGGGGUUAUUGGGUUGAUGGUUUUUAAUUGUUGGACUGGUAAUUAAAAUACAAGAUAUGUGCUAAAAUUGAGGUAAUUUUGAGAUAACCCCAAUUAUAUUAGGGAUUAAAACAAUUUCAGCAGCUUACAGACAACACAAAGUGAAAUUCUAGGAUCCAUGCGACAAGAAUAUAGUCGCAACCAAACCUACGACCUCUGAUGCCCCUAUAACAAGCAAAUCCCAGCAUACGAAAGGGAAAAAAAUAAAACAGUUUGGGAAAAAGGUGUGCUCAGGCAAAGUAACAUUCAAACACAAAGCAUUUUUUUCUUAGAAAUGAAUACCAAAUCAGAACUUUGAAGCAAAAGUGAAAACAACUAAAAUAACAUCACAAAAAUCUUACGACCAUCAUGGCCUCUACAGCGAACAAAUUCCAGCACAUAAGAGAGAACUAAACUUACUACUACAAUGAAAAAAUGAAAAUGAGGCAGAAACACUAGAAAGAAAAUAAAGCGUCGAAAAAUUUACCUUUUUUGGGGUUGAAAAAUAGGACCACGAGCUUCGUCGUGAUCAAUAACUAGAAAACGUCGUCGUCGUCAACUCGCCGACGAAUUUCACUAAAACAAAUUUUACUAAAAAGAGGACGAAUUGUGCUCAAAGGUUUUUCUCCCCUCCAAGACUUGUUCUCUUUUAGCUCAAGCAUGAGCUUUUUAUAGCGCGGAUUUUGGGCUCAACCAUUUUUUGCCAUCUAUGUGGGAUAGGAGAAAUCGGGGGGCAAUUUUGGAAUUUUUUGAAAGGGAAUAAUUUCAUAUUUUGAUAAAAGGGAUAAGGAAAAGUUGUAAUCGUAUGAUUUUGGUACAAAAUUUUGAAAAUAAAAUGGAUAGCUUUUACUGGUUAUUGUUGCUUUAUUUUGCAACUGAUUCAAGUUGUUUUACGGAUAUUGGGUCACGGGUUUUGGGGUUCGCCAAUGUAAGCGUUGAAUUGGAUUGCCGUUAAGUCACCGGUGCCAGGUCGGAGCUUCUCGGGUUGACGUUGAAGACGGGUCGGAAGUACUGCGGGUUGGAGGCGCCGUUGAUGUGUCGGGUUCGGUUUUAGUUGAUGGUGGUAUUUUAUAUCGUGUUUUUGCUGUUUGCUGAUAUUUAUUAAUGAAGAGUAAAACGGGCCGGGUCAAUUGCAUUGGACUGGGCUGGGCAAUUUAGGGUUUUGGGGCUGAUUGUUUUUAAUUGUUGGACUGGUAAUUAAUAAACAAUAAAUAGGCUGAAAUUGGGGUUACUUUGACAUAACCCUAAUUAGAUUAGGGAUUAUAAAUUUAGGCUAUUUGUUAAAUUAGCCUAACCAUUAGAAUUUAGCCAAUUAUAUUUAAAUUUUAGCCUAUUUAAAAAUAAUUGACCAAUUACAUUGUAAUUAUGGCCAAAUCACUUUCAAUUAAGGUUAAAUUUAAUAAAUUGACCAAUUUUAAUCAAGAUUUAAAAUGAAUUAGCAACUAGUUUAUUCCCGAGUUUCUUGAUUUGAUCUAAUUGACUAAAUAUUUUUCCAAAUAAUUUUUUUUUUUGAAUAAAUCAAGAUUCUACCCAUUUGAAUUAAUUUUCAAGAUAAGCUUUGAUUAAAAUUUGAUAUUUCGUAAAAUAUUUAUAUAGGUAACAAAAUUAUAUAAUAUCAUAAAAUUGAAUACGAUAAUGUAUCAUUGCUACUUAAAAUGACAAAAUUACGUACAUAAAUAUUUUGAAAAACUUUUUAUUCUGAUAAAAUAGAUAUUAUAACUUUAUUUAAAAUUGAAGAAACUCAAAACUAAACUUGGUUGUGAAGGGAAAAAAUUCAAUGUCCACAACUGCCCCCUCCCUUUGGGUAGGAGGGAUGAAAGUAAUCCUGGGCAAAGGGAGGUUGACGUUCCUAAUUUUUUUCCGACCAGAAAUUCAAAACUAAAAGAAGUUUUUUUGCAUGAGUUUUGUGGAGUUAUGGCUGGACCUCGGUAUCAGGUUUUCUACAUAUCUCAGGUUACAUGAGAAUUCAAUCCACUUGUAGUUCAUAAAACUUGAUUUAAAGCGUAAUUUUUAAAAAAAUUACAAGUUAUCUCAGUUUUUGAGUUUUUGAUGAAAUCGAAAAGCUAGAGAAUAAAGGGAUCUGGGAAGAGGUUGGAAUACAGUCAAGUUUUCAAAAUAGGUCACUGCCUACAUAUCCCCAUGACUCAAGGAAUCAAACUGCUUGUAGUUCGACUCAAUUGGUAGAAAAGAUAGUCUUUUAUUGUAAACGGUCUUUGGUUUAGGAUGAGUGAUAAGUUGAUCGAGUUGCGAAAAAGAGGUUUGUAACCUCUUAACCAUGAAUGUGGGAUCCUUCACAUCCAUAGAAAAGAACUUACCUAAACAUAAUUUACAAAACUCUAGGUGUACUAUAACUUAAAUUUGAUGGAAGGAUAAUGUUACCCUCGAUAUGAGUUUAGAAAUAUAUCGAGUGUGAAACUGGAACAAAAAUAUCCCAAAGUAUCCACAUGCCUUAUAACAGGGGUGUAGUUUGAUUGGUGGUGGUGAUCAUCCUUUAGAUCGCAUCUAAAGAGUUAGAUGUCCUUCUCUAGACUAUGUCCCAUUUUGCUGCUAAGAAAGAGUUCUAUGUUGUACUGCUUCCUAUCUGGAGUCGUCUGCACCUGUGGUUUGGGAUUGAUAUUUUCAUCUUCUCGGAUUCUCCUGACAAUAACUCAAACAAAAUCAUUAGUAAGAAGCAUAAUUCAUGAAAGGGUGUAUAAUUUUUAACAUAUCUCCACGUGAGUUGCUGCCUAAAAAGUGAAGUCAUCCUUUCAUGUACCUGUUUGGGAGGAAAUAACUUGCAACGAUAGGAACAACAACUCUCUUGGUUGUUGUACAAUUAGCUCACAUGGCAGUUGAAUAUGUCUUCAAAGAGAGGUGGCCCUUUUAGACACCGACAUCAAUUUAUGUAGAAUGGUCCCUGCAACCGUGUAAUCUUAUGCUGAUGCGGCAACCCUUUUGGUCGCCUAUAUUGAUUGUUGUAUGUAGAAUAAUAACCUUUUUGGUUAUUGACAAUGAUUCUUCGCAUAUGACCUCGGGUAAGUCUUGCACAUCUUUUGUGUCAAAACGAAUUAUAGAUUUUCCUUGAAUUGUCAAUCUUUGGAUAAUCUUGCGCAUUAUUUGAUGUUGAAUAAGAGGGGACUUACUGAUAUCCUUUGAAUUUCUAGUUUUGUAGGUAAUCCUACACAUUAUCCAACCUUGGAUAUGAGAUAGCUUACAGAUAUCCCUCCAAUCUCUAGCUCUUAGGUAUUCUUAUACAUCAUCCAACCUUGGAUACAAUAUGACUUAUAGAUAUCUCUCAAAUUGCUAGUCUUCGGGUAAUCUUGUACAUAAUUAAUCAUGGAUAUAACGCGGCUUAUAGAGAACCCUUGGACGUGUCAAUUUGAUAAUCUCGUAUAUUCUCCGAUAAGGAUUUAGUUACGACUUAUGGAUGACCUUUAAACUAUCAAUCUUAUGGUAACCUUGCACACUAUACGGUUAGGAUGUUGCUGCGGCUUAUGGAUGACCUAUGGAAUAUCAACCCAUAGGUUACACACUAUGCUAUUUCAAAUAAUAUGAAUUAUAGAUGACCCUAGGAUUGUCAAUUUCUAGGAAGUCUUAUAUGUCGUUCACUUUUAGAUAACGACUUAAAGAUGGCCCUUUGAAUCAUGUGCUUUUGAUGCAUUCAGAUGCUGAUUCAUAAAAUGAUGAGAUAUCCUCAAUGCCAAUAUUUGUGUCUUGCGUGUCAACAGAUAUUAAAUGCUGAUGAUAUCUUCGACGCCAGCGUAUGCUAUCUCGUAUAUCAACAGAUAUUAAAUAUAGAUGAUUCCCUCGACACCAGCAAUCCUAUCUCACGUCUCAACAGAUAUUAUAUGUUGAUGAUAUCCUCGAAGAAAUCAUAUUCUAUCUCGUGUUUCAACAGAUAUUAAAUUUUGAUGAUAACGUUGAUGCUAACGUAUGGUAUCUCGCGUGUUAAUAGAUAUUAGAUGCUAAUGAUAUCCUCGAUGCCAGCGUAAGCUAUCUCGCAUGUCAACAAAUAUUGAACAUUGAUGAUAUCCUUGACGCCAGCGUAUGCUAUCUUGGUGUCAAUAGAUAUUAAAUGUUGAUCAUAUCCUCGACACCAACGUAUGUUAUCUCGCGUGUCAAUAGAUAUUAGAUGUUUGAUGAUAUCCUCGACGCAGCAUAUGCUAUCUCACGUGUCAACGGAUAUUAGAUUUGAUGAUAAACUCAACGCCAGCGUAUGUUGUCUCACGUGUCAAUAGAUAUAAGAUGCUGAUGAUAUCCUCGACGCCAGCGUAUGCUAUCUCGCAUGCCAACAGAUAUUAAAUACUGAUGAUAUCUUCGAUGCUAGUGUAUGCUAUCUCAUAUGUCAAUAGAUAUUAGAUGCUGAUGGUAUCCUCGAUGCCAACGUAUUCUAUCUCGCAUGUCAAAAGAUAUUAGAUGCAGAUGAUAUCCUCGACGCCAGCAUAUGAUAUCUCGUGUAUCAACAAAUAAUGAAUGUUGAUGAUAUCCUUGACGCUAGUGUAUGCUAUCUUACGUAUCAACAGAUAUUAGAUAUUGAUGAUAUCCCCGACACCAGCGUAUGCUAUCUCACGUGUCAACAGAUAUUUAAUAGCCCUUUUGGCAAUGGUUUGAAAUGACCCUCUCAACGAUGAUAUAAAAGGGUACUCUUGGUAAUAACAUGAAAUGGUCCUCUCGAGAGUGACAUGAAAUGGCCAUCUUGGUAAUGAUAUGAAAUGACCCUCUCGGCAAUGAGAUGAUAUGAAAUGGACCUCUUGGCAAUGGCAUAAAAUGGCCCUCUUGGCAAUGAGAUGAUAUGAUAUGGCCUUCUCGAUAGUGAAAUGGUUCUUUCGGUGAUUUGAAAAUAGUUUCACUUGAGUUCGUUUGUCUACAUUUUGCUUUCUACUUGCACCGGUACUCAAGGUAGACAGUCUGUAGGCAUAAUAUCGCUCUCACUAGCAACAACAGUCAAGAUUUAUGAUAUUUUAAUGGAAAAUACCAAGCAUCAUAAUUUGAAUGAUUUAUUCUGCUAUUAAUCUUCUCUUUUUGAAGAAAUAAUUAAAUAGUGGAUCCACCGAAUACAAGUAAAUGGGGAAAACCCCUUCUUUGGAGAUUACUCAAAUACCGUAUGCUUCGCUUCGAGGUGAAUUUUGGAGGAUGAAUUUUUGCUCGUCCUCCUAUUGAGUGAUCCUUUGAUUGUUGUAUUUAUUAUGCUGACGUCCUUGAAUGCACCUGCGCUCAAAGUAAAUAUUUAAUAGACAUAAAGUCAGUUAUGCUAGCGACCGUUUUUAUAUAAAGAAUUCUAAAUACAACAUUCAUAAAAAAUCUAAGGCGCCUUUGUUUGCCCUUCAUGGACUUAAGAAUUACGAUAGACAAUUUAAAAGGUCCUCAAUAAAUGGGUAUUAAACACAUCUUCUGGGCUACCCGAAAAUACCAUUUUUGAGCAUUAUAUGCUUUAGUGUGUCUUGUAAUCCACUUGGGGAUUUUUGUUGAAAAAAGAUUUCCAUUUUUUGGGUACUGAUCCCUGCAUCCACAAAAAAUUGAUUAGUUUUGAGUGAAACUAUACCGUGUUGACCUCCUUCAAUCCUUGGUUUGCUCUUCGCCAUCUUUUGCUACUCCGUCACGUUAGGACUUCCACCCUGACUCCCCAUUCCAAUAGAUUCCUAGGCAAUUACUAAGUAAAGACUUGUAUAUAUUUUUGAAAGUAUUCUUAAUUUUUAGAAACUAGUUUCAAAAAUUCUGUAAAAGAUUUAAACAAUCUCUGCCAGUCAUGUCAUGUACUAGCUCAACAGACAUCUUUCUCCUGGUUCUGACUGUAUCCGAUGUUCGAUGGAGGAUUUUCAAAACUCAUCAUCACUGCUGAAGAGCUCUUCAAAAAGUUCUGUCAUAGUCGAAGAAUUAGUCUACCAAGACUUCGUAGCAGCUGAUGAUCUCCAAAACUUAACUCUGAACUCUGGUGUUGGGUGAUGUGAAACAUAUUCCAAUAUAUUAGUUGAAAUUUUGAGGACCUCCUCAAAAUUUUUUUCCCCAAUUUAAAGUUGUUUGAGACAAUCUCAACUCGAGAGGAUUUGAAGUCUUUGGUGAUCUUCAUUCUCUUUCUUUUUGGAAGAUGAUCUUUCUCUUGUGAAUUUUUGAGAUUCCUUCUCGAAAAUUAUUCCUAUUUUCCAUUUUCUAGGGUUAUAUGACCAAGCUUUAGGGGCGCCUACGUAUCCCGUUGAAGCAGGAAUCAAGUCAAACGUAGUUCUGCACUACACUAGGGAUAUACAGAAAAAUCUAAAGGGUUGACCGAAGUCGACAUAGGCCUCCUACGUAUCUCAUUCCUGAGAAUUUAGGUCAUUGCAUAGUUCAUACAUUAAAGGAAAGGAUAAACUAUCCUAAAAGGUUGACCGAAGCCGACAUAGGCCGCCUACGUAUCCAUUUCUUGGGAAUUGAGGUAAAAUGUAGUUGGUACAUAAAAGAAAAGAAUAAAUUCUCCUAAAGGGUUGAUCGAAGUAGACAUAGGCCGCCUAUGUAUCCCUUUCUUGGGAAUUCAAGUCAAACAUAGUUCGUACAUAAAAGGGAAGGAGUUGAAUGGCCCUAGAUAUUAUUGUCCAUCCUACUAGAAUAUAAAUAAGACCUCUAUGGAUGACACUUUCAUUUCGUAUGUCCUGAUGGAAUGAAGGAUCAACCAUCCAGAUUCCUUUGAAAUAAUUGAUGAGAUUCCAUCUUCCUCGCUUUUUUUAGACAUCGACCCUGAUUCUCUUACAUUGGUCAUUGUCCCCUAAUUAACUACCUCAAUUUGUUUUAUGUUAAACUUUUCUUGAUUUUUGAAGUCCUUGGUUCUUUUGCUGACUGCUUUAGGACUAUCAUCUCCCAUUCAUCAUUAUCCUUCUUGAUCUUCUCACUUUGAUUUUUUAGAUGACAUGACAAUAAAAGGUUUUAAGUUAUUGUUACCCAACAGGCGACGAGUCAUGAGUGGAUUAGAGGUCCAUUUCAAUAAUGUUUCCUCCAAUUCAUCUUCCAUGAUCCCGACUGUCUUGAAAAAUUCUUCCAUAAUAGCAUCACAUUUUUCCCUAUUCCACCCUUGAGACCAUCACUUAGAGGUUUUGAAAAAUGACAGGUAGAGUCUAGUUUUAUUACUAGUCAUUUUUCUUUUCCUGUAACAAAGCUAUAUUCAAGAGGGGAAUCAUUUAUUCACUUUGAUCUAGUAGGGCCAUUUUAUGCCAACACAAAGUAGUUUCUAUUACCUACAAAGUAAAACAACUCAAAGCCUGACGUGUUAGAUUCCGUUAGUAAUAAGCAAAAAAAGAUAUUAGGUAGGAAGUAAACACAUAGAGUUGUUUCUUAUCUCAUGUGAAUUGAUCUAUGAAGUAAUGAUGACUUUAUCAGGAAGGCUCAAAUCUUCUCCCUUCCGACCUUAUUUCUUCUUUCAAGAAAGUGAAGGACAAUAGAGAUUUUGCGAAAAGGGGCCGGACCAAAAGGCUUCCUACAUAUCUCACGGGGGAGAAAUCAACGCCUGCGUAGUUCGAACUAUUAUGGAUUUUUCUAAUUCUAAAGUCAACUUUCCUUAAAUGGUAGCCAUCAUUUUGGAAGGUUUUAGAAUAACUGUGGACUUUUCUGAGAAACUUGGGAGACUUGGAGUAUGUUUGGUUGGAUUUUGUAUAGUGGGGUAUAUUUUUACCUAGAGAUGCUCUGUGGAAAAUGAUGUUGGAUCAAUUCGCCUUUGAUUCGAAUCAACAUAGCACCUAUAAGCACUUAAGCAGUUAUAUAACACAAACAUAUUGUAAUAGUCAUUCAUCCUAAUUGGGUAACCCUUUUGAGCCAAAGGUUGGCCUAACGUAUUUGAGGGAAAUAUAUUCUUUUUAAAACCAAUCCAUUAUCCCCCAAAACCUUCAUAGGUGUACAUAAAUGGCAUAAAUGCCUACAAAAGUUGCACAAAAGGGAUACAAUCUUUAGGGUUAGGGAAAAUAACAUGAGAAAAAAAAUAAUGUCCCGCACAGGGGAUAAGUUAAAAUAGCUCCUGAAUGCUUUUCUAUCGGCCUUCGCUCUCUUAGCUUUGUGCAUUUUUUGUCAUUGGCAACAUCCGUUGAUGAUCAAGCGAUUUCCAUAUAACUGUGCUCUAGAUGCAACCAUCCAAAUCAAUCAAUUUCUUGCUUGGCUUUCUUAAAUUCUUCCUUCAAUUGGCGUAUGAUUGAGGCUUCCUUAAACAAAAGUAAGCAAAAAAAGCCUUCUUCUGACCCCCAAAGGAUAAUGUAUUGGAUUAAACAAACAUAUAUUUCUUAAACACAUAAAUAUAAUUAAUCUGUAAUUGACUCGGGGUUAAUAAACGCACGACAAGUUUUCUAAUGAGCCCAAUACCCCCUUCGAGUAAUGGAUCGUCCUAGGCUUAUGCCUAAAAGGGUAUUGGUUUAGCUCUACCCUAAGUGUCUAGAGUGGGUUUGAAUCAUGGUCCCAAGUGGAAAACUUGAGUUUGAAAAUACGAACAACCAUCAGACGCCUCACGUGCUAAUAGACCAUCGUAUUUCCAACACUUUAUUUGGAGUUGAACAAUAGGGGUUGGGACAUCCACGAAACCCCUAAAUAAUUUAAUAAUCAAUACAGAAUUAUGCUUUGAGAUGCAAUAAUUAAAUUUUGUAAAAUCAAAACAUAAAAACACGUAAGCAAUUUAAACAGUUCGUCAAAUGAUAAAUUUAAACAUUUGGUUAGAACCUAGUUAAAAAUCCCCAGCAGAGUCGCCAUUUCUAUUUUGCAAAAAUUUUGACUUCUGAUAGUCGCCACUUAAUUUAUUUGAAAAGGAAUUAAGAAAACCUUUAUACGAUACUUUAAACAAUUCAAAAUAGAAAUAUUGUUUAAAUUUAAAGAUUCUGAGUAAGCGGUUCCUAUUAACGUUUUGUGAAAGUUUUUAAGGCACCUAAAACGUCCGCUAACUUGCAAUUAUUCGGACUAUUUGAAAAUAUCUUUUGACUAACUUCAAUAAGAUUGAUUGUUGAAAAGUGAUUGAGUUUAGAAAAAGAUUUGUGUAAAAUUGAUUUGGACGACUUAGUAGGGAUUUAACCACGUCUAAGCAAAUGAAAAGCAAAUAAGCACAUAAAAGGGGAAAGGGAGGAGGAAGUAAAAGAUUUAGGCCAUUGGGCCCAAAUCAAUGAAACCUGUCCAAAUCUAAUUGGGUUUUCGACCUAUUUUUCACCUGUCCCAAUCUAUGUUUUCAAGCUUUUUUGGCCCAAAAUCCACUUCACUUGUAUUAAAUUUACAACUUUGUCUUCGAGGUCCAAAUGAAUGAAUAAUGAAAUGAAGAAAUAAAUAAAUAAUAAUAAAAGACAACAAUAAAUAAAUAAACAAAUAAAAUAAAAAAUGAUCCUCUCGAGUCUCUUUGCCAUUUCAAAGACAAGACUUUAGUCCAUUCUUCUUCUUUCAACUCGUUGUAUCCAUAUUCCAUGAGAUUGAUUUUUGUCUUGAACUUUGAGGCAAUGGGCCUUAUUGGCCCAUUCGAAAAUGGAAUGGGAGGGAAUUCAUUGUGGACUCCAAAACAGAUUCACAUGCAAAGGAAAAGGUAAGAAUUAGAAUCAUCCCAGACCAUAUAAUAUCUUAUCACAUGUGAAUAAAUACUAAACUGAUUUUUAUCUCACUAUUUAGGCUAGUUUUCAAAUUGAACAAUGUUUUAGAACAUAUGACUUGAUCACAAACAAUGUUCUAUAGAGAAAACGAAAUUAGCAUAGAUUCUUCAUGACUACCUUUUAAGCAACAAGACUGCAAGCGGGUAGAAAAUUUGAAAUGGAGAGGAGCAAGCAAAAUUUGACAAAACCAAGCAAGAAAGCAAUUUUUGUAAAGCACUCAAAUUCUUAUCGAUAUGCACACUAAUUGUGACAUGUUGAAGUCACCUUAACAGAAGCUAUAACAUGUUUCCUAACACAUAAAGCAAAGACUUGCACUUUGAAAAAUAAUUCACAAAAAAUGAAAAAAGGAGCAUGCAGAAGCAAAACAACAAUUUAUUCCGAAUCAUAAUAUCAAAAUUCAAACCUAAAAUAACUUGAUUCUGUUACCCAAAUACGCAUAAUAAUUACUCUUAACAUAGAACAAAUCCCGUGCAAACUUCAUGAAAAAUUCAUCAAGGCGCAAUUUUAACAUGAGUAAUAAAACAUAUUACCGUUACGAACCCAACCAUACCAGUUUCACACAGUGGAAUAAAAACAUAAUCCAAAUGGACAGGAAGAACAUUGUUCAGCAGCUUACAGACAACACAAAGUGAGAUUCUAGAAUCCAUGCAAUAAGAAUAUAGUCGCAACCGAACCUACGGCCUCUGAGGCCUCUACAGCAAGCAAAUCCCAGCAUACGAAAGGGGAAAAAUAAAACAGUUUGGGAUGAAGUUGUGCUCAGGCAAAGAAACAUUCAAACACAAAGCAUUUUUUUUCUUAGAAAUGAAUACAGAAUCAGAACUUUGGAGCAAAAGGGCAAACAACUAAAACAACAUCACAAAAAUCCUACGACUAUCAUGGCCUCUACAACGAACAAAUCCCAGUACAUAAGAGAGAACUAAAUUUACUAAUACAAUGAAAAAAAUGAAAAUGUGGCAGAAACACGAGAAAGAAAUAAAGCGUUGAAAAAUUUACCUCUUUUGAGGUAGUAAAACGUGACCACGAACUUCGUCGGGAUCAACCACCAGAAAACAUUGUCGUCGUCAACACGCCAACGAAUUUCACAAAAAUAAAAUUUUACUAAAAAGAGACUGAAUUGUGCUCAAAGGUUUUUCUCCCCUCCAAGACUUGUACUAAAAAGAGGGGAUUUUGGGCUCAACCCUUUGUUUCCAUCGAUGUGGGAUAGGAGAAAUCAGGGGGCAAUUUUCGAUUUUUUCGAAGGGAAUAAUUUCAAAUGUUGAUAAAAGGGAUAAGGACAAUUUGUAAUCGUACCAUUUUGGUAUUAGAUUUUGAAAAUCAAAUGGAUAGCUUUUACUGGCUAUUGCAGCGUCAUUUUGCAAUUGAUUCGGGUUGUUUCGUUGAUAUUGGGUCGCAGGUUUUGGGGUUCUCCACUGUUAGCGUUGAAUCGGGUCGCCGUUGGCUCACCGGUGCUAGGUCAGAGCUGCUUGGGUCGACGUUGGAGACGGGUCGGAGGUACUGCGGGUUGGAGCCGUCGUUGAUAGGUCGGGUUUGAUUUUGGUUGAUAGCGGUAUUGUAUAUCGUGUUUUUGUUGUUUGCUGAUAUUUGUUGAUGAAGAGUAAAACGGGAUGGGUUAAUUGCAUUGGACUGGGCUGGGCAAUUAGGGGUUAUUAGGCUGAUGGUUUUUAAUUGUUGGACUGGUAAUUAAAAAAUAAGAAAUGGG
rnacentral:lncRNA from 1 species